UAUAUAUCAGCAAAAGUUAUGCAAUAUACAUAUAUAGGCGUGGAUGGUUAACCUAGUUAUUAACGUUAUUUGUCAACUUUAUCAGCAACCGAACAGCACUUGCACGCUCACUGCUCCAGAGAGCUGCAAAUUCCAAGCCUAAAAGCCAAACUCUUUUUUGGUUCCUGCUCCCAAGCAAAAGAGUGGAGAAAAGCAGAAGGAAUGUUCUGUGAGAAUGUGAUAUUUACUGUAAUUUCCUGAUAAUUGAUAUAUGCCUUAAAUCUCGUUGGUGUUCAUUUGCUUACUGGGAGGAGCAAAAUGGGGUAUACAAUUACCCAACAGACUUAUAUGGUUGAUGCUCGUGGUUUGCAUGGUUUUUCCAAACAAGACAGUCCCUGUUGUGGCAUUGGCAGUUGCUCAUUUAUCAAAGCGUCUACUUUUCGCAUAAACUGCCUGGUCGAGUACAACCGUAAAUCUCAAACUGGUUUACAAUGGAGAGGAAAUUUUGGUUCAAAAAGAAAUGUGAAGUUCUUAGGAUAUACAAGCUUGCAGAGGAGUGUUUUUAUUAAUACGGUAGAUCAUGAAGACGAUCAAGAUGAAUGGAGCUCUGAUAUUGUUAAGAUGGAUAUAGAGAGAAAUCUUGGAGAGAAAAUAAGUGGAAGGAAGCCUCGCGAUUCUUCAUCACUGCAUUUAGAUGGACCCUUUGUUGGAAACGAUGAGGAAACCAAUAAUGAAAUUCUUCAGCAUUUCUGCACCAAUGGCAAGUUAAUGGAUGCAUCGAGAUUAAUUGAUGUUAUGGCCCGUCGAAACCAGAUUCCACACUUCCCUUCCUGUAAAAACUUAAUCCGGGGCCUUCUCAGAAUUGAUAGGAUAGAAAAGGCUACUACGGUCCUGAAAGUCAUGGUCAUGUCUGGGGGGGUUCCAGAUAUCAUCACAUACAAUAUGAUGGUUGGUAGUCUCUGUAAGAGAAGACGAUUAAGAUCUGCCAUUGAUCUCUUGGAGGAUAUGAGCUUGAGUGGUUGCCCGCCAGACGUGAUUACUUAUAAUACGAUAGUCCGGUGCAUGUUUGAUAAUGGGGAUUUUGAUCAGGCUAUUAGAUUUUGGAAGGACCAACUGAGGAAGGGGUGCCCUCCUUAUCUAGUUACCUACACAGUUCUCAUUGAGCUAGUCUGCAAGCACUGUGGAACGAUGCAAGCUAUUGAAGUUUUAGAAGAUAUGGCAAUUGAGGGAUGUUAUCCUGAUAUAAUUACCUACAACUCUCUCGUUAAUUAUACUUGCAAACAGGGAAAAUAUGAGGAUACGGCUUUGGUUAUACAAAAUCUAUUAUGCCAUGGAAUGGAGCCAAAUGCUGUAACUUACAACACUCUUCUCCAUGCUCUUUGUAGCCAUGGGUGCUGGGAUGAAGUAGAUGAGAUCCUCACCAUCAUGAACGGAAUUUCCCAACCUCCUACAGUUGUUACGUACAAUAUAUUGAUCAACGGUUUGUGUAAAUUUGGGCUUCUGGAUCGUGCCAUUAACAUCUUUGCCCAAAUGGUUUCCCAAAAUUGUUUGCCAGACAUCGUAACUUAUAAUACAAUCCUAGGCCCUCUUUGUAAAGAGGGAAUGGUAGAUGAAGCCUUACAGUUACUUCACCUUUUAAGUGGUACCAGCUGUUCUCCUGGUUUAAUUACGUAUAAUACUGUGAUUGAUGGAUUAGCUAAAAAGGGAUAUAUGGAGAAAGCAAUGGGAUUGUAUCGUCAAAUGAUAGAAAUUGGGAUAAUUCCUGAUGAUAUUACACAUCAUUCCCUAAUAUGUGGAUUUUUCAGGGCAAAUCAAGUUGAGGAAGCUGUAGAGAUAUUGAAGGAGAUACAUACUAGAGAUCAUAGGAUCAGAAAUGGUUCUUACAGACUUGUGAUCCAUGAGUUAUGUAAAAAUGAGAAGCUGGAUAUUGCCAUUCAAGUUUUAGAGAUGAUGAUAUCAAGUCGACGUCUGCCAGAUGCAACAAUCUAUUUAACUAUCAUUAAAGGUAUAGCUGCUGCUGGUAUGACAAAAGAAGCUAAUGAGCUGCGUGAAAAGUUGAUAGCAUGGAAGAUUUUGAAAGAGGAGAUCGUGUUGGACUAAAUAAAUUUAUGGAAAAGCUAACUUGGUUGAACACUUCUUCUGGGCUUGGUGUGCAACAGUUUCUUGCUUGAAGUUGUAUGGAGAGUACAUUUUUGUAAGGGAGGUGGUUUUGGAACCCAUGGACACUUAAUCACCCUGGAAUAUAUGAAAUCUUGAUCGUGAAAGCAAAAUUUUUAGGAAUUUUUUCCAGUUUCUCAAGUAAAUGUUGAGUGGUAUCUUGUAAUUCCCUUUUUUGGUCCUAUUUUAAUGGCAACUUGGGGCCGUCCUUUUUGCAGAGUUUAGGAUUUCCGACACAAAUCAUACAGAGCACUUCAUCCUCCUGUGUAGAUAUUGUUUUAUUUAUUUUCCAUUUGAACCUUUGCUGUUUUUAGCUUUUAAAUUUGUUAUUGCUUUUUUGGAUAUCCAAUCAGUUUGGGUUCCUAUACCGUAUACAAAUUCAUUGGAUUAACUCUUUUGUUUGUA